rnacentral:piRNA from 1 species
CACAGGAGGGACUCCGUGACAUGGGC